rnacentral:rRNA from 1 species
AUUGAACGCUGGCGGCAUGCCUUACACAUGCAAGUCGAACGGUAACAGGUCUUUCGGGAUGCUGACGAGUGGCGAACGGGUGAGUAAUACAUCGGAACGUGCCUAGUAGUGGGGGAUAACUACUCGAAAGAGUGGCUAAUACCGCAUGAGAUCUAUGGAUGAAAGCAGGGGACCUUCGGGCCUUGUGCUACUAGAGCGGCCGAUGGCAGAUUAGGUAGUUGGUGGGAUAAAAGCUUACCAAGCCUACGAUCUGUAGCUGGUCUGAGAGGACGAUCAGCCACACUGGGACUGAGACACGGCCCAGACUCCUACGGGAGGCAGCAGUGGGGAAUUUUGGACAAUGGGCGCAAGCCUGAUCCAGCAAUGCCGCGUGCAGGAUGAAGGCCUUCGGGUUGUAAACUGCUUUUGUACGGAACGAAAAGUCUUGGGUUAAUACCCUGGGAUCAUGACGGUACCGUAAGAAUAAGCACCGGCUAACUACGUGCCAGCCGCCGCCGUAAUAC